rnacentral:rRNA from 1 species
AGUGAACGCUGGCGGUAGGCCUAACACAUGCCAGUCGAACGGCAGCACAGUAAGAGCUUGCUCUUACGGGUGGCGAGUGGCGGACGGGUGAGGAAUACAUCGGAAUCUACUUUUUCGUGGGGGAUAACGUAGGGAAACUUACGCUAAUACCGCAUACGACCUACGGGUGAAAGCAGGGGAUCUUCGGACCUUGCGCGAUUGAAUGAGCCGAUGUCGGAUUAGCUAGUUGGCGGGGUAAAGGCCCACCAAGGCGACGAUCCGUAGCUGGUCUGAGAGGAUGAUCAGCCACAAUGGAACUGAGACAACGUCCAGACUCCUACGGGAGGCAGCAGUGGGGAAUAUUGGACAAUGGGGGCAAGCCUGAUCCAGCCAUACCGCGUGGGUGAAGAAGGGCUUCGGGUUGUAAAGCCCUUUUGUUGGGAAAGAAAAGCAGCAGGUUAAUACCCCGCUGUUCUGACGGUACCCAAAGAAUAAGCACCGGCUAACUUCGUG